GAUGAACGCUGACAGAAUGCUUAACAUAUGCAAGUCAACUGUGGCGGACGGGUGAGUAACGCGUAAAGAACUUGCCUCUCAGAUAGGGACAACAUUUGGAAACGAAUGAUAAUACCUGAUACUGUGAGAGAGCUUUGCGUCCCAUUAGCUAGUUGGAGAGGUAACGGCUCACCAAGGCGAUGAUGGGUAGCCGGCCUGAGAGGGUGAUCGGCCACAAGGGGACUGAGACACGACCCUUACGCCUACGGGAGGCAGCAGUGGGGAAUAUUGGACGAUGGACCAAAGUCUGAUCCAGCAAUUCUGUGUGCACGAUGAAUUUUUCGGAAUGUAAAGUGCUUUCAGUUGGGAAGCAGUACCAACAGAAGAAGUGACGGCUAAAUACGUGCCAGCCGCCGCGGUAAUUC
rnacentral:rRNA from 1 species